CAACUUUCUUUCUUUCUUUCUAAAGCCGGGAGCAAGAUUGAUUCAUUUCAUUGACUCCUUCAGAAGAGAUUUAUUGAGCACAAAGUAUGUGCCAGGCCCAUUUAUAGUAACUGAAGUUACAGCAGCUACACUGCCCUUCUGUUGGAAGUCAAUCUAAAUAAAAACUGAACAAGUAACAAGUAUAGAGAGUAUUAUGUAAGAAAGCGGAGUGCAGGCAGAUACUACCUUGUGAAUGAAUCUGCGAAAGCUUCUUGGAGGAAGUGUGUCUAACCUGAAAUCUGAUACAUGAGUAAACAUUAACUCGGUGAAGGUGAAGGUUGGAAGGAUGAGGAGACCUUUAAGCAGUGUAGACCUGUGUGAAAACUCUGAGGCAGGUGAGAACAGUGUCUUAAGACAGUGACAUGACCAGAUUUGUGUUAUUUGCAAGAUCCUUCUGGCAACAAUAUGGAGAAAGGUUUGAAAGGGAAAGCAGUGGAUGUGGGAAGAGCCAUUCUGAAUAGGACAAGUAGAUGCAAGUGGGUUUAACAACAAUGAUAAUGAUAACGAAUACUUAUAUAGCACUUACAUGCAGGAUCUGUAUCAAGUGUUUUACAUAUAUUAACUGGCAUAGCCUUCACAGCAACUCUGGGAUAGUUUCUUUUUUCAUCCCCAUUUUCCAGUGGGAAACCAGAAGCACAAAGAGAGUAGGUGGCUUUCCUAAGAACCCACAGGUAGAAAGUAGAAAAGGGUGGAGCUAGGAUUCAGACUUCAUCUUCCAGUGUUCAUCUGUUCACCGCUACACAGAAAAGUAGAAGAGAUCAAGUUGGGGGUUGAACUGUGUCCCUCAAACAGAUGUAUUGAAUUCCUAACCCUUGAUACCUAUAAAGGUGACCUUGUUUGGAAACAGGGUCUCUUUGCAGAUGUAAUCAAGUUAAGAGAAGAUCAUACUGGAUUAGGGUGGGCGUUAGAUCCAAUGACUGGUGCCCUUAUAAAAAAAGAGAUUUGGAGACACACAGAUGCACACACAGAAGACCAUGUGACAACCGAGGCAGAGAUUGGAGUGAUGCAUAUAUUAGACAAGGUAUACCAAGGAUUUCCAGCAACUUCUGGAUGUUAAGAGAGAGGCAUGGAUGAGAUUAUCCUUCAAAGCCUCCAGAAGGAACCAACCCUGCUCACGCCCUGAUUUCAGAGUUUUAGCCUCCAGAAUUACGAGAAAAUUUAUGUUAAGCCACCCAGUUUGUGCUGCUUUGUUAUGGUAGCCCUAGGAAUCUAAUGUAGAUCAGAAGGUAUUUUAAAAAUAAGAGGCUGGGCACCGUGGCUCACACCUGUAAUCCUGGCACUUUAGGAGGCCAAGGUGGGCAGAUCACUUGAGGUCCUGAGUUUGAGACCACCCUGGAUUUCACCAUGUUGUGAACAUGGUGAAAUCCAGUCUCUGCUCAAAAUACAGAAAUUAGCAGGGUAUGAUGGUGGGUGCCUGUAAUCCCAGCUACUCAGGAGGCUGAGGCAGGAGAAUCACUUGUACCCUGGAGGUGGAGGUUGCGGUGAGCUGAGAUCACGCCACUGCACUCCAGCCUGGGCAACAAGAGGAAAACUUCCAUCUCAAAAAAAAAAAAGAAAGAAACCGCUACAAACUGUUAGAAUGGUCCAGAAAUACUAAUACUUUUCCCUCUAGAACUUUGUCUUCCACAUUUUGUCUUCUCUACAGAGGCAGCAUAGAAAUAUUUUGCCCACGCAUGUGUUUUGAAUUUGGACCCCAAACUAAGGGAAGACACUACAUUGGCUUGUCUAAGUUGAUAAGCUGUUGUUUAAAAAUAUCUAAAUAGGCAGCCCCCGAGUCAAAGCCGGUUCCCGGCCCAGUCCCGUCCUACAGCAGCCUGCCUCCUCUUUCCUUUCAACAUGACAGAUGCCACUAUGUCCUUUGCCAAGGACUUCCUGGCAGGUGGAGUGGCCGCAGCCAUCUUCAAGACGGCGGUAGCGCCCAUCGAGCAGGUCAAGCUGCUGCUGCAGGUACAGCAUGCCAGCAAGCAGAUCACUGCAGAUAAGCAAUACAAGGGUAUUAUAGACUGCGUGGUCCGUAUUCCCAAGGAGCAGGGAGUCCUGUCCUUCUGGCACGGUAACCUGGCUAAUGUCAUCAGAUACUUCCCCACCCAGGCCCUUAACUUCGCCUUCAAAGAUAAAUACAAGCAGAUCUUCCUGGGUGGUGUGGACAAGAGGACCCAGUUUUGGUGCUACUUUGCAGGGAAUCUGGCAUCAGUCAGUGCUGCUGGGUCCACAUCCUUGUGUUUUGUGUACCCUCUUGAUUUUGCCCGUACCCGUCUAGCAACAGAUGUGGGUAAAGCUGGAGCUGAAAGGGAAUUCCGAGGCCUCGGCGACUGCCUGGUUAAGAUCUACAAAUCUGAUGGGAUUAAGGGCCUGUACCAAGGCUUUAAUGUGUCUGUGCAGGGUAUUAUCAUCUACCGAGCUGCCUACUUCGGUAUCUAUGACACUGCAAAGGGAAUGCUUCCAGAUCCCAAGAACACUCACAUCGUUAUCAGCUGGAUGAUCCCACAGACUGUCACUGCUGUUGCUGGGUUGACUUCCUAUCCAUUUGACACUGUUCGCUGCCGCAUGAUGAUGCAGUCAGGGCGCAAAGGAACUGACAUCAUGUACACAGGCACACUUGACUGCUGGAGGAAGAUUGCUCGUGAUGAAGGAGGCAAAGCUUUCUGCAAGGGUGCAUGGUCCAUUGUUCUCCGAGGCAUAGGUGGUGCUUUUGUUCUUGUAUGAUGAAAUCAAGAAGUACACAUAAGUUAUUUCCUGGGAAUUUUCCCUCUGUGAACAGGCAUGUGGUAUUAUAUAACAUAUCUUGAGCAUUCUCGACAGACUCCUGGCUGUCAAUUUAUCUGUGGCAACUAUUUACUGGUUGAAAAUGGGAAGCAAUAAUAUUCAUCUGACCAGUUUUCUCUUAAAGCCAUUUCCAUGAUGAUGAUGAUGGGACUCAAUUAUAUUUUUUAUUUCAGUCACUCCUGAUAAAUAUCAAAUUUGGAGAAAUAAAAAUAUCUAAAAUAAAAAAAAUCUAACAUUUUAAAAUAGAGGUUUAAAAUAUUUUAAAUAUUUAUUAAAUAGAGUUUAUAUAGGUGCUUUCUUGUUGCCUAGAUUUUUUUGUUUUUUUUUUUUUUUUAUUUGGUUUUUAGAUAAGUAAAUAUAGAUUUUUAUAGCAAACUCCUUACUGGUUAUCCUCCAGUUUUGCUUCUCUUAGGUGAAGCUGAGCAUGUUCUUCAGUGGUUUGAAAUUCUUCAGUUCUUCAAUAUAAACCUCAACACUCUCACAUGAUUUACAAGCCCACCAUAAGGUACCCCUUCCUCCUCCUCCUUCUCUUUUAUCCUUUCCCAGUACUUAUCCUGUGAACCAUUUUUACCACUGCUGAGCCUUUACUCAUCAGUGACCUUGACAUAACUCCUUUCUUUAAGCAGCUAACUCCUCAGCCUGUCAGUUAAGACCUACCUCUGGCAUUGCCCUUUCCCACAAACCAUCUGUGACCCAUCUCCAUGGGUCAUAUCACCACUGUAGGUUCUUUUCUGUCUCCUCCAGUAGACUGAGGAAAAGAAUCCUCGUAUCUUUACAGUUCUGUCAAUCAAUGAAUGUUUUCUAAAUAAUUACAUAGCUUUAACAUUAUCAUAUUCUUGCAAUUCCUGAUAUAAGGGAUAUGUGUAUUUUUAGAAAUAAUUUAGCCAGUAUUUUCACAGUAAUACAGGGAAUAUGUUGUGUCUUCUAGUUUUCCACAAUUAUGUUAAUUUCCUUUUAGUACAAGAAAAAAAUGCCACAUAGCAAAGUAGAUUUUGAUACCUGCAAAAAUUGUUCUUACUAGAGUUUUUGUUUGCUUUAUCUAAUAUCAAUUUGACAAGUAUUUGUCAAUAUCCAGUACUAGGUAUAUGUUAUGAACACCACAAUAGAAACACCUCACACAUGAGUCAGUGUGUUAGCUCAGGCUGCUAUAACAAAAUGCCAUAGACUGGGUAGCUUCUCACUUCAAUUUUCUCACUGUUCUGGAGCCUGGAGGUCCAGGAUCAGGGUACUGGCAUGGCUUGAUUCUGGUGAGGGCCUUCUUUCUGACUUCAGGUGGUCAGGCUUCAGGCCUUUCUCUAAGAAUAGAAAGUGGGCUGCAGUUAACUGAGAACUUACUAUAUCUUUAAACUACUUCAGUGGUGAUGCUUGAAUUAAUAUUAAUCCACUAUUGUAGAGUUUUAUCUUGUUUUGUUGAAGAGCAAAAUUUUUUUUACCUGGGAGUCACUCAUCUCACAUGUAAAAAAAAAGUGUUUAAGCAAUUUUUUGGAACAGAUCUAAAAGAAAAAAGAUUGCUGGGAAGGAUGGUUUCCAAUAAAAAUGGAGUGCAUAGUAUUUAAAACAAAUCCUUUUUACCAUAUGAGAAAUUGUGGCUGUGGAUGGAAAGAAUUGAUGAUUUUACCAAUGAUAAACUUUUGAAACAGGUAAAGAAAAUGAAACUAUCAGUACCAUGUAAAGGUGGUUUUAAAACAUAAUUUUAAAUACUCAAUGUGACACCAAAGAACUCAUCCCAGCCCUGAGGAUGUUCAUGCUGUGGGGAGAAAGACCUAGUUGCAGAGGGCUUUCUCUAGCAUGAGCUUCUACAGGCUUUCUUUUUAAAUUUUGUUUUUACUGUUAUCAAAGCAAUAUGUCUAUGUUUUUCAAAGUCAGAAAGCUCUUCAGUUUAAAGAAAGAUAGAAGCCAUCUGUCUCAUUCCUCCUCGACCUGAGCCCCAUUCCUUAGAAGCAAACUAUUGACUUAUGCUGUGGAAGGGUCUCACACAAUUCUACCACCAGCAGCACACUCAGGCUUGAGUGAGCACAAGCAUACUAGUCCUCCCUUAAUCACAGUUUCGCUUUCCACGGUUUCAGUUAAACUGCAGUCAAUCACAGUCUGGAAAUAUCGAAAUGGGAAAUUUCAGAAAUAAGUAAUUUAUCCAUUUGAAAUUGUGGGCCGUUAUGAAGAGCAUGAUGGUGCAAUAGCACCAUCCUGUUCCAUUCCACCUGGCAAAUGAAUUAUUCAUUUGUCCAGCAUCUCUGAGCUGUGUAUGCCACCUGCCUCAGUUACCUGUUAGUCACAUAGCAGUUAGUUGUCUUGGUUAUCAGAGUAAAGGUAUCGUAGUGCUUACGUUCAAGUAACCCUUAUUUUACUUAAUGACCCCAAAUUGUAAGAGUAGUGAUGUUGGCAUAUUGUUAUAAUUAUUCUAUUUUAUCGUUAGUUACUGUUGUUAAUCUCUUACUAUGCCUAAUUUAUAAAUUAAACUUUACCAUAGGUAUGUAUAUACAUAAAAUCGUACUUAUAUAUAUAGUAUAUAUAGGGUUUGGUACUAUCUGUGGUUUCAAGCAUCCCCUGGGGAUCUUGGAACAUAUGCCCCCAUGGAUAAGGGGGGAUUACUGUAAACAUCCUUCUCCAUCUCUCCCUUCUCCAACCAAUUAUUGGUUAUAUUAGAAUUCCAUAUUUACAUUACUGUCACUAUAAGUAUUGCUCAUAGCUGAACGGUAAAAAAUAAUGACUUUUAUUCUUAUAGUUGAUUUGUGAUUUAGGUAUAGCAUUCUAGAUUGAAACUAAUUUUUCUGCAGAGUUUUGAAGACAUUAUACCUUUUAAUUUUCUUAUUUUUCAGUGUUACUGUUAAAUUUAAUGCCAUUUUAUUUUCUGGUUCUUUGUAGGUAACCUGAUUUGUCUAAGUCUUUAGGGUAUUCUUGUUAUCUUUAUGAAUCUGAAAUUUUACAAUAAUGUGAACAACAUGAGGGUCUUUUUUCAUUCAUUGGGCUGUUUUCUGAUUGGACCCUUUGGUUAAAAAGGCCCAUGUCCGGUUUAGGGAUAUUUUCUCUUAACAUUUCUUCAAUAAUUGCUUCCUAUGUUUUCUUCUCUCUUUUUGGAACUGAUUAUUUUGACAGAGUUAUACUCUAAUUAUCUUUUUUCUUUAAUUUUGUUUGGUAGGUUUUCUUAAUUUCAUCUUUCAACCCCCCUUUAUUUUCGAACAUUUUUUCCUAAUGUAACAAGAACUGCUUGACCCCUGGAUGGGAUCUUUUCUUAUGGUAUUGUGUUCUUGUUUCAUAGCUAUUAUAAUGCCUUUUCUCUAAGGAUGUUCAUUUAAGAAAUUUAUUUUUCUACUUCUUGCAUCUUCUCUUCCUUAGAGUCUCCAUUUCUGUUUGAUAUGUCUUUCCAUAUUAAGAAUUGUUCUUUCUAGGCCGGGCGCAGUGGCUCACGCCUAUAAUCCCACUUUGGGAGGCCAAGGCGGGUGGAUCACGAGGUCAAGAGAUCGAGACCAUCCUGGUCAACAAGGUGAAAACCCGUCUCUACUAAAAAUACAAAAAUUAGCUGGGCAUGGUGGUGCGCGCCUGUAGUCCCAGCUACUAGGGAGGCUGAGGCAGGAGAAUUGCUUGAACCCAGGAGGCGGAGGUUGCGGUGAGCCGAGACCGUGCCAUUGCACUCCAGCCUGGGUAACAACAGCGAAAAUCUGUCUCAAAAAAAAACACAAGAAUUGUUCUUUCUUGACUAUUAGUUUAUUUUUAUUUGUAAGGCACUGAGAAGCUCUUUGGAAGUUCUAUGUGUGGGGUCAGGACUUGUUUACUGGUGGGUCUCACUAUUAAGUGAAGGAAGAAAUUGGCUAUUUCAUUGAGGUGAGGCUCCCAAAUGUCAGUAUUGGAAGGAAGUCUUUCUUCCUAGACAACUGGCCAAUUUCCAGAGUAAUUUUCUAACUUCCUGAGUGUAAAAUAUAAGUUUUAUACAUUCAGACGUAUGUGAGAGAUAGAGCACAUGGGCGGAGAAGUCUUACACGUUGGUAUUCAGACUUUUAUUCAAUCCACGCUCCAUGGCUGUCCGCAGGUUCAGAGCUUGUGUGUUUUAGUUUCUUCUGAGAGUAAACAGCCCUUCUUCUGAUGGGGUAAGAGAGGCACAGUCUAGGGAAAGGAAUGAGGGGAGUCUAAUUGCUUUUAUAUAGUCUUUCUUUUUUUGUUUGUGUUUUCUUUUUAGACAGGGUCUUGCCCUGUCACCCAGGCUGAAGUGCAAUGGUAUGAUCAUGGCUCACUGCAUUCUCGAUCUCCUGGGCUCAAGUGAUCACUACAGGCACACAACACCGGGCACAGCUAAUUAUUAUUAUUAUUUUGAGAACUGGGUCUCACUUUGUUGCCCAGGCUGGUCUCAAACUCUUGGGCUUAAGCAGUCCUCCAUCUUGGCCUCCUAAUGUGCUGGGAUUUCAGGUGUGAGCCACCAUGCCAAAAGACUUUCAGUUAAUCCUGGUUUUCAUCUUUGUCACCUACACUGGCAUUUUUAAUUUUCACUCACUUUUCUAGAGUUAGCCCAAUUCACCUGUUUUGUUUUUUAUUAUGUACUUCCUGUUGGGUUUAAGUUUCAGCUUUUCUGUGCUAAGUCAGUUAUUCUUCCAGUUUUUUUUUCUUAUUUUCCAAAUUUUGAAAGAUUUCUCUUUCCUGGAGAUUUCUUUCUUGUUAACUUAUCCUUUUAUUGUGAUUUUUUGGUAGGGUUUACAGAGAAGCCUAAGAAAAAGGCUUUUUUGUUUACCCAAGAAUCAGGCUGCUUUCUUAUUGUUUAAAGCUAUUAUUUUAGGUUUAUAUGAGUUAGGAAAUCUUCCCAGUCAUUCUGUCUUUCCAUAGACAUUUUCCUGUAGAUGUUACACAGUUUAGAAGGUGACACAACUGAUGGUGAUCAUUUUGUGUGUCAUAUAUGGCUAAAGAGACUAAUAUUAAGUAGCUUUUACGAUGCUAUAAUUAAAGGCCGAUCAUCUUUGAAUUUAAGAUUACAAAAAGAGGACUGCCAUUUAGAGGAGAAUGCCGAUUGAGCUACCUAAAAGAAUGAAAGAGAAAUAUAUGGAAGAAAGAAGUUAGAGUAAAACAUGUACUACACUGAAAGAAAAUGUUGGAGAAGCAGUAUUUGCUUGCCAGAAAGAUAAGUAGACUCAGAAAUGAGGGUGAUGCUGCCCAAGCAAGAUCCAGGUAUAUUUUGUGUCCUUGCUUCUGCAGUGCACAUUAUUUCACAUCUUAACAUUUCUGAAAUGGUUUUUUAACUUGGGUAGAUGUGUACAUUUAAUAUUGGAGGAUUUCUUCCCCCCACCCUCAAAUCUACCGUUGAAUGAUAGGUUUAUUUUAUAAUUCAAGUGUCUUAAAAAUGAAGAAAUAGGCUGGGUAUGGUGGCUCAUGCCUGUAAUCCCAGCACUUUGGGAGGCCAAGGCGGGAGGAUUGUUUAAGCCCUGGAGUUUGAAACCACAUAGUGAGAACUCGUCUCUGUUAAAUAUAUAUAUAUAUAUAUAUAUAUAUAUACACACACACACACACACACACACACAAUGAAAUAGAGUUCUUUGGAAGUCUCGUUUAUGAUCCUAGAAUUUACCUUAUCUUAUCCCCGAUUAACUCAGUUUAUUCUUAUUUAGUUUAAUGUCACAGAAAUUUGCUAAGUACUUGCUGUGAGGUGGGGAGUGGGGAAGAGCAGAAAGUUAAAGAAAGAUGGCUAAAUUGUAGUCCUUAUCCUCCAGGAAUCUGUAAUCUUUUUUUUUUUAAUCACCAAGGGAAUUUGUAAUCUAUGAGAAGACACCUGAAAACAACUAACCAAGUAGGAGAGCAAAGUCAAUAUAAUCAGCAGAUUAUUUGGGUAGCAAAGAGAAAGGUUUAUUCUGACAUGUAAGUGGGAAUUAGGAAAGGCCCUGACAUUGAAGUCAGACCUAGAUCAGAAGCUGCCUUUAUCAUGUACAGCCAACCGGGCGCGGUGACUCAUGCCUGUAAUCCCAGCACUUUGGGAGGCCCAGGCAGCUGGAUCGCUUGAGUCCAGGAGUUCAAGACCAGCCUGGGUGAGAUGGUAAAGCCCCCUGUCUAUAAAUAAAGUACAAAAAUUAGCUGGAUGUGUUUGCAUGUGCCUAUAAUCCCAAUUAUUUGGGAGGCUGAGGCAGAAAGAUCACUUGAGCCUGGGAGGUGGAGGUUGCAGUGAGCUGAGAUUGUGCCACUGCACUUCAGCCUGGGCAACGAGUGAAACCCUGUUGUACAGCAACAUGUACAGCAAUUAGAGAGUAAUUCAGGGGUCCCCAACCCCCAGGCCAUAGACCUGUUAGGAACUGGACCACCCAGCAGGAGGUAAAUGGCAGGCCAGUGAGCUAAACUUUAUCUGUAUUUACAGCCCCUCCCCAUGGCUUAUAUUAGUGCUUGAGCUCUGCCUCCUGUUAGGUAAGCAGUGGCAUUAGAUUCUCAUAGGAACACGAAUCCUGUUGCAAACUGCAUGUGAGGGAUCUAGGUUGCGUACUCCUUAUAAGAGUCUAAUGCCUGAUGAUCUAUCACUGUCUCCCAUUACUCCCAGAUGGGACUGUGUAGUUGCCCAAAAACAAACUCAGGGCUCCCACUGAUUCUACGUUAUAGUGAACUGUAUGAUUAUUUCAUUAUAUAUUACAGUGAAAUAAUAGAAAUAAAGUACACAAUAAAUGUAAUGUGCUUGAAUCAUCCUCAAACCACCACCACCCCCAACCCCUGUCUGUGGAAAAACUGUCUUCCAUGAAACUGGGCCCUGGUGCCACAAAGGUUGGGGACCGCUGGAGUAACUGACUUCGAAUAGGGGUUGUGGUAGGAUAUAAAACUAGAAUGUCAAUUUAAGGAGUUUGAUCUUUAUUCAGUAGGCAAUGGGAAUCGAGGUAGCAAGAGCUAACCUUUAAGGGAGAAAACUUACGGGGUUGAGACAUCAAGAUCACAGGAGUAUCUGUUGCAAGAGUCUUGCAAGAGAUGGCAAAGGCUGUGAUAGUGACAACUGUGAUGGUAGUUCUACUAUGGGAGUCCAAAAAAAAAUGAAACCCCUGUGGACUGGAAGGGCUAUAAGCAGAGCCUGAGAUAGGUUCUGUGAAGAGUGAGUAGGAGUCAACAACAGCCCUGUUAUAAACUUGAAUUUUAAAUUAGUUUUAUUGUACCACAGCAUAUCUCAGUGACAACAAAGCAAACAAAUAUUAUUUAGCAUUUUAUUUCAACCAAAUAAAAGUUGAUUAAAAGUGAAAUCUUAUUUCCCGAUAUUUGAGUCUUUCAGGUAUAUAUAUUUUUAAAAACUGUUCUCUUCAAGUUUAAGGGUUAGCGUGUCAGGAAUUAAUUAAGCCCUGUAGUCAUACGAGAUAGGAAAAAGUGGACCUGAAAAUGAGGACAAGAGAAGGACAAAUUGCAGAAAUGAGGACAUAUAACUCUUCAGAAGAAUGUGUCGCACAAUAGAAGGAGUAUUAGCACAUAAGGGUAAAGAAAUAAUGAUUUGUAGUGUCAUAAGAAAAUGACAAAAGAAUGUAAAAGAGUCAUUUAUAGAGGAUGAGGGGGUAGUAGGCUAAAAUUCCUCAAGUCAAAAUUAAUAAAUUAAGACGAAUUAUUAAGG